rnacentral:rRNA from 1 species
GACGAACGCUGGCGGCGUGCCUAACACAUGCAAGUCAAGGAGAAAGUCUUCGGAUGAUUAAACUGGCGCACGGGUGAGUAACGCGUAGAUAAUCUGCCCUUAUCCCAAACAUAACUUCGAGAAAUCGAUGCUAAUAUUUGAUGAGGCACUUCGGUGUCAAAGACUUCGGUCGGAUGAGGAUGAGUCUGCGUCUGAUUAGCUAGUUGGUAGUGUAACGGACUACCAAGGCGACGAUCAGUAACUGGUCUGAGAGGAUGAUCAGUCACACUGGAACUGAGACACGGUCCAGACUCCUACGGGAGGCAGCAGUGAGGAAUAUUGGUCAAUGGGGGAAACCCUGAACCAGCGACGCCGCGUGUGGGAUGACGGGGCUUUGCCCUGUAAACCACUGUCAGAUGGGAAUAAAGCCUUAUGAAAGGCUGGGAAUGUACCAUCAGAGGAAGGACCGGCUAACUACGUGCCAGCAGCCGCGGUAAGUC